rnacentral:lncRNA from 1 species
GAGUUGGAGUCUAUUUCUUCACUCUUUUGACUCUGGACGGGCAGAUAACUUUUUCCUUUUAGUCUCUAGAUGGGGAGGAGUUACACCACUGGAGCUGGCCAUGUGACUCCCAUUGACUAAAAGAAUGAAGUGGAAGUGAAAUUUUGCAAAUCCUGGGACCUAACUAUCAAGAGGUCUUACAGCUUCUGACUUUACCCUCUCCACUAAGAUCACCAGACGAGGAAGCCAGUCUAGCCUCCUGGAAGAUGAGAGGCCAUGUGGAGGAGAAUCAAGGCAUCCUAGCUGAUGGUAUUCCUUAGAAACAAACAGGUGAAGAAAAGAAUGAGAAAAAAGAAUCGAAUUCAUAUUCCAUGUUCCAUAACCGAGAAUUUUGUGAUCCCCCUAAUGGAAAGGCUUUCGAAUAUAAGGGGACAUAUGAUUUCCUGGAGACGAUGAGAGGCUCUGUAACACAGCGCAUGUGACAAAAAGUAAGAAUUCUAUGGCAAAAGC